rnacentral:rRNA from 1 species
AGUAGGGCCUGCCCACUGAUUUAUUGAAGGGCCGCAGUAUCUUAACUGUGCAAAGGUAGCAUAAUCAUUAGUUUUUUAAUUGAAAGCUGGAAUGAAUGGUUUGAUGAAAAAAUAGCUGUUUCAUUAUUAAUUAAUUAAAACUUUAUUUUUAAGUGAAAAAGCUUAAAUAAUUAUAAAAGACGAGAAGACCCUAUAGAGUUUAAUUAAUAAAAAUUAUUUUUUAUAAGAAUAAAGUUUUUUAUAGUUUAAAAUUAAUUUAAUUGGGGUGAUUAAAAAAUUGAAUAAACUUUUUUUAUAUAAUUACAUUAAUUUAUGAAUAUUUGAUCCAUAAAAAUGAUUAAAAGAAU